rnacentral:rRNA from 1 species
GACGAACGCUGGCGGCGUGCUUAACACAUGCAAGUCGAACGGAAAGGCCCUGCUUUUGUGGGGUGCUCGAGUGGCGAACGGGUGAGUAACACGUGAGUAACAUGCCCUUGACUGUGGGAUAACUUCAGGAAACUGGGGCUAAUAUCGGAUAGGAGCUCCUGAUGCAUGGUGGGGGUUGGAAAGAUUCGGCGGUUGGGGAUGGACUCGCGGGUUACCCGCUUGUUGGUGGGGUAGUUGCUUACCAAGGCUUUGAAGGGUAGCCGGCCUGAGAGGGUGACCGGCCACAUUGGGACUGAGAUACGGCCCAGACUCCUACGGGAGGCAGCAGUGGGGAAUAUUGCACAAUGGGCGGAAGCCCGAUGCAGCAACGCCGCGUGCGGGAUGACGGCCUUCGGGUUGUAAACCGCUUUCGCCUGUGACGAAGCGUGAGUGACGGUAAUGGGUAAAGAAGCACCGGCUAACUACGUG